rnacentral:rRNA from 1 species
UACGGAGGGUGCAAGCGUUAUCCGGAUUCACUGGGUUUAAAGGGUGCGUAGGUGGGUUGAUAAGUCAGUGGUGAAAUCCCCGAGCUUAACUUGGGAACUGCCAUUGAUACUAUUGAUCUUGAAUACCGUGGAGGUCGGCGGAAUAUGUCAUGUAGCGGUGAAAUGCUUAGAUAUGACAUAGAACACCAAUUGCGAAGGCAGCUGGCUACGCGAAUAUUGACACUGAUGCACGAAAGCGUGGGGAUCAAACAGG